rnacentral:rRNA from 1 species
UACGAAGGGGGCUAGCGUUGUUCGGAAUUACUGGGCGUAAAGCGUGCGCAGGCGGUUUGCUAAGACAGGUGUGAAAUCCCCGGGCUUAACCUGGGAACUGCGCUUGUUACUGGCAGGCUUGAGUGUGGCAGAGGGGGGUGGAAUUCCACGUGUAGCAGUGAAAUGCGUAGAUAUCGGGAGGAACACCUGAGGCGAAGGCGGCUAUCUGGACCGACAUUGACGCUGAUGCGCGAAAGCGUGGGGAGCAAACAGG